AAACCAACAGGGAUUGCUCUAGUAACGGCGAGUGAAGCAGCAAUAGCUCAAAUUUGAAAUCUGGCGUCUUCGACGUCCGAGUUGUAAUUUGUAGAGGAUGCUUCUGAGUGGCCACCGACCUAAGUUCCUUGGAACAGGACGUCAUAGAGGGUGAGAAUCCCGUAUGCGGUCGGAAAGGCGCUCUAUACGUAGCUCCUUCGACGAGUCGAGUUGUUUGGGAAUGCAGCUCUAAAUGGGAGGUAAAUUUCUUCUAAAGCUAAAUAUUGGCCAGAGACCGAUAGCGCACAAGUAGAGUGAUCGAAAGAUGAAAAGCACUUUGGAAAGAGAGUUAAAAAGCACGUGAAAUUGUUAAAAGGGAAGGGAUUGCAACCAGACUUGCUCGCGGUGUUCCGCCGGUCUUCUGACCGGUCUACUCGCCGCGUUGCAGGCCAGCAUCGUCUGGUGCCGCUGGAUAAGACUUGAGGAAUGUAGCUCCCUCGGGAGUGUUAUAGCCUCUUGUGAUGCAGCGAGCGCCGGGCGA
rnacentral:rRNA from 1 species